rnacentral:lncRNA from 1 species
ACCUAACAGAAAUGAGAUGCUUGAGUGGAUAUGGCGAGAAGCGGGCAGGGAAGAGAAAGCAAACCCGCGAGCGAGAGAGGCCGUGGUGAGGGAGGGAAGCCGUGGAGCAGCCCACGGAGCUCUGCUGCUUUCCACCAGCCACCAACGUCACGCUGGAGUACGUGCGCUGGAGGCAAAUGGAGCCGCGGGGACCUCGGCUGGCCCCGAGCUCCUGCUGGCCUCAUCCUUCCCUGCAAAGCGCCGUACCUGCGGCACGGCUGCCAACAGCGAGCCCGGGGAAGGGGGGAGAAGCUCUUGCCCGUGGAGCAAGGUGCUGCGCUCCCUUCCAAGCAUUGCACACAGUCUCCAAGAGGCCGGCCAGGAAAGCAGCGGCCUGGCGCUGGCAGGGUUGUGGUGAUGGCUCGGGUGAGCGGCCGGCUCCUGCCCCCGGCACGCCGGGAAUCCCAACCCGGCUCUGCCUCCCCGACGUCACGGCCCAGGCUCGGCACCAGCAGACGCGGCUCCGGCGCCGGGAGAAGAGGCCAGCUCCUCCCAGCUCAGCUGGAGCCUCCAAAAUCGGAACCUCUGCUGUCAGCUGCCUUUUAUAGGGCUAUAAAACCACAAGUUCAUGUACAGACGUUGGCCGGGAUCAGCCUCGGCCACCUUCAGCAUCGCUUCUCGACGUCUUGCAUGUCCUCCAUCUCCAGAGCCUCCUUCCCUCGUGCCCAGCCACCUGCAGCCCCAAAGACGGACAAGAGGACAUGGAAAGAAGGACAUGGAGCCAUGCCAGCCCCCACCAAGUGAAAAAGGUACAAGCCAGGCAGUGAAGCACCCCAUCAUCCUCACGGUGCUCAAUGGCACAGCCCCUAAACCCCACCAGCAGCCCCCAGCCCCUCGCGGCAUUUCGGUGGCCGUGCCGCCCGCUGUCAUCAGGCGCAGGGAAUAACGCGCCCGUAAUGCUGGGCCCUGCGACAAGAAUAACAUGAAAUAACACUGCACCCACCCACUGAGAACACCAAGUGUGUCACACUCCUCUGUGUCAUGGGUUUAAAAAUAGCCCCCUCCUUUCCCCCCGCCCCUUUUCUUUUUCUUUUCCCAUUUAUUUAUGGGUUUUUUGGACACC